rnacentral:tRNA from 1 species
GGAGAGGUCGCGUAGCCCGGUUUAGCGCGCACGCCUGGAGAGCGUGUAACCCAAAAGGUUCGAGGGUUCGAAUCCCUCCCUCUCCGCCA